rnacentral:rRNA from 1 species
GACGAACGCUGGCGGCGUGCUUAACACAUGCAAGUCGAACGGAAAGGCCCUGCUCUUGUGGGGUGCUCGAGUGGCGAACGGGUGAGUAACACGUGAGUAACCUGCCCUUGACUUUGGGAUAACUUCAGGAAACUGGGGCUAAUACCGGAUAGGAGCUCCUGCUGCAUGGUGGGGGUUGGAAAGUUUCGGCGGUUGUGGAUGGACUGGCGGCUUAUCAGCUUGUUGGUGGGGUAGUGGCUUACCAAGGCUUUGACGGGUAGCCGGCCUGAGAGGGUGACCGGCGACAUUGGGACUGAGAUACGGCCCAGACUCCUACGGGAGGCAGCAGUGGGGAAUAUUGCACAAUGGGCGGAAGCCUGAUGCAGCAACGCCGCGUGCGGGAUGACGGCCUUCGGGUUGUAAACCGCUUUCGCCUGUGACGAAGCGUGAGUGACGGUAAUGGGUAAAGAAGCACCGGCUAACUACGUG